rnacentral:rRNA from 1 species
CCUACGGGCGGCAGCAGUGAGGAAUAUUGGUCAAUGGCCGUAAGGCUGAACCAGCCAAGUCGCGUGAGGGAAGACUGCCCUAUGGGUUGUAAACCUCUUUUAUGCGGGGAUAAAGGUGUCCACGUGUGGAUGUUUGCAGGUACCGCAUGAAUAAGGACCGGCUAAUUCCGUGCCAGCAGCCGCGGUAAUACGGAAGGUCCGGGCGUUAUCCGGAUUUAUUGGGUUUAAAGGGAGCGUAGGCCGGUCUUUAAGCGUGCCGGGAAAUUUUGUGGCUCAACCAUGGGAGUGCGGCGCGAACUGGAGACCUUGAGGGCGCGGAAGGCAGGCGGAAGUCGUGGUGUAGCGGUGAAAUGCUUAGAUAUCACGAAGAACCCCGAUUGCGAAGGCAGCCUGCCGCAGCGUUACUGACGCUGAAGCUCGAAAGCGCGGGUAUCGAACAGGAUUAGAUACCCCUGUAGUC